GCAGAGUUUGUGGGUGCAAGGGAUGCAUGCCACAUCUCACCUUCAUGAGAUGGCCUGUCGGUAUGCAGAGCACAUGGCAGUAUCCACCAGCCCUUGUGACCUGUCACUCUGGCAUAUGAAUGCUGCUUUCUGUCCAUCGCAUCAGCCUGAAUCUGGGCACUCAGCAGGGUCUGGUCAGUUUGCCUUUCUUCAGGAUUCUAGAGGCAGCUGUUCUGAAGAAAUACCCCCAGCUCUGGUUGAGACUGCUAGACUUAAGCUGGUCCCAUAGGAGGCAAACUGCUGAGAAGCAUUUAGUGGCAUGGCUAGUAAUGAUGUAUAAAUUUUUUCUCUGAAAAUGGUUAUUUUCCAAUCCAGUCCCUUAAUAUGUGAUGUGGUUGUGCCUCAGAAAUCCCUUCCUUUCAUAAUGGUCUUGUACUACUGAAAUGUCUUGCAUUUCUGUGUCUUGCUUAAGUUCAGAACUUGGUCAAACCGAGUUUAGGAACUUAGAGCCACAUUGUCUUAUAUUGCAGUAAAUUUGUGAGUUGUGAGUGGAUAUUUCCAUAAGAAUGCACAUUCAUUCUGUUUCUCUUUUCAGGAGUCUUGUCAGCAGUGCCAGCUCCUUGGCAUUUUGUAUGACACUACAUCAUGAGUGACAGCAAAUGUGAUAGUUUUACAGUGUGCAAGUGGCAGACUCAACUUUCACUGUCCUGAAAUGGUACCAGCAGUUGAAACCAAUUGGCUCUGGAGCCCAAGGGAUUGUUUGGCACCGUCAUUGCAGUGCCUUGCCCUCCAUUGGCAGGAUGAGGCCAGUCGGUGUCACUGUCACACCAUGGGUUAGCCAGGAAGGGAUGCUGUGUCAGGGCUUGGGCUGGCCGCCUUCCUUGGUGUCUCUUCAACUAUGUUUCCAGCCCAGGACAUCAGAACUGUUAGUCUGACCCUGAAUCUGAGUCUCGCAUGGUCAGACAGUCGUCAGCUGCAGCGAUGUCACUGGCCAGUGAAAGGUUUUGGUACCGGGGAUCGAACUUGGGACUUUGUGCUUGCGAGGCAGGUGCCGGAACCACUGAGGUAAAUCCCCGGCCCUUAAAUACCUGUUUGAAAAGUCAUAUUAGUUGUAUUUGUCCCCAUAGGACAAUAGUUACCUUCAAGCAAUUUUAACUUUACAGCUGUAACUGAUACUUGCUGUUUUGAUAUCCUCCUAUCUUAUGUUCUAAUUUGGAAAACUAAAAACCUCAGAAGUGAUUUUGGCUUCCUUUGUCCCUCUUUCUUUUUUAUAUUCAUCCUUCACCAGGCUUAAGACACCAAGUAGGAUUGGGAAACAAUGUGGUGAUGACACAUUCCUGUUUAAAAAUCAAAAAUCAACUGACUUGCUAAAAUAAACUCAACAGGUUAGCUACUGCCUUGAC
rnacentral:lncRNA from 1 species